rnacentral:tRNA from 1 species
AGAGUAGUGAAGUAAUAAUUACAUUUAGUUUCGACCUAAAAUUAGAGGAAGCCCCUCCUUACUUUA